GCGGAAAUAGCUCAGUUGGUAGAGCACAACCUUGCCAAGGUUGGGGUCGCGAGUUCGAGUCUCGUUUUCCGC
rnacentral:tRNA from 2 species